GGGUCAGUAGGUUGGUCGUGCCACCGGUACGUACUGGUCUCACUGAUUCCUCCUUCCUGAAGAACCGUAAUGCCAUUAAUUUGGUGUUGCGGGGAAACAGGACUGUUACUUUGAAAAAAUUAGAGUGUUUAAAGCAAGCUAACGCUUGAAUACAUUAACAUAGAAUAAUGAAAUAGGACGAUCGAUCCUAUUUUGUUGGUUUCUAGGAUUGACGUA
rnacentral:rRNA from 1 species